UUUUACGGUGGGCGGCGGCAACG
rnacentral:misc_RNA from 1 species